GCCAGGCGCAGUGGCGGGCGCCUGUAGUCCCAGCUACUCGGGAGGCUGAGGCAGGAGAAUGGUGUGAACCCAGGAGGUAGAGCUUGCAGUGAGCCCAGAUCGCGCCACUGCACUCCAGCCUGGGUGACAGAGCGAGACUCCAUCUCAAAAAAAAAAAAGACAGUGUCUUAUUCUGUCACCCAGGCUGGAAUGCAGUGGUACAAUCUUGGUUCACUGGUGCCUUCACCUCCUUGGCUCAAGGAAUUCUCCUGCCU
rnacentral:lncRNA from 10 species